rnacentral:rRNA from 1 species
GUGGCGAACGGGUGAGUAACACGUGAGCAAUCUGCCCUUGACUCUGGGAUAACUGCGGGAAACUGUAGCUAAUACCGGAUACUUUCCCCGCUGGGCAUCCAGCGGGGAAGAAAGAAUUUCGGUCAAGGAUGAGCUCGCGGCCUAUCAGCUAGUUGGUGAGGUAAAGGCUCACCAAGGCGACGACGGGUAGCCGGCCUGAGAGGGUGACCGGCCACACUGGAACUGAGACACGGUCCAGACUCCUACGGGAGGCAGCAGUGGGGAAUAUUGCACAAUGGGCGAAAGCCUGAUGCAGCAACGCCGCGUGAGGGAUGAAGGCCUUCGGGUUGUAAACCUCUUUUAGCAGGGAAGAAGCGAAAGUGACGGUACCUGCAGAAAAAGCACCGGCUAACUACGUGCCAGCAGCCGCGGUAAUACGUAGGGUGCAAGCGUUGUCCGGAAUUAUUGGGCGUAAAGAGCUCGUAGGCGGUUUGUCACGUCUGCUGUGAAAAUCCGAGGCUCAACCUCGGACUUGCAGUGGGUACGGGCAGGCUAGAGUGCGGUAGGGGAGAAGGGAAUUCCUGGUGUAGCGGUGGAAUGCGCAGAUAUCAGGAGGAACACCAAUGGCGAGGGCACUUCUCUGGGCCGUAACUGACGCUGAGGAGCGAAAGCGUGGGGAGCGAACAGGAUUAGAUACCCUGGUAGUCCAC